rnacentral:tRNA from 1 species
CGGGCCGUAGUUCAGUUGGUAGAACGCACGGUUCGGGACCGUGAGGUCGCCGGUUCAAGCCCGGCCGGCCCGA